rnacentral:lncRNA from 1 species
GUUAUUUUCGCCCUCCGAGUUUCCUGCGUCUGCAACCGACGCUACCUCGGGGUUUCAUAAUUGUAAUUAAACUGAAGAGGCUGCCUUGUGUGCGCUUGUUAUUCUUGAAGGUAAGAAGCAUUAUUUAAUUCUUAAUAAUAUUCGAACAGCAACAUGCUUUUAUUCUAAAUUGAAAAUCUGGUUUGGUGUGGAUGUAUUCCUGGAGAUUUAUGCUGCUGGGUUUAUUAGUUGCAAGAUCAGGGCAAUAAUCAUGUGUAUUUUAUGGUGAAACAAAAUUAUGCUCCCAAGAUGUUUUAGCUUGCUGCGUUUAAGCAGCAGAUUUCACUGGAAAAGGAAAAACCUCAGCUAAUAAGAUUACAUCAGUGUAUUUGGAAUAGGAACAAAAGCCAAGCAAUUACAAAUAGAAUAAUAACAAACUAAUUAUGCCCACAACUUCCUCUUAAAGAUUGAUUGUUUGAAGGAGUACUGUGAGAAACUGUAGCAAGAUAAUACUAACAAAAAAUACAGUUUGACAGUUUUGGCUUAUUAGCUAUUAUUAAUUGAAUGUGAGUUGUGCGUUGUUUCUUAUUAUUGCUUACAAAGAAUAAAAAUGGCUUGAAUCAUUAGCUACCA